GGGCGUAUAGCUCAGGCGGUUAGAGCGCUUCGCUGAUAACGAAGAGGUCCCAAGUUCAGUCUUGGUACKCCCA
rnacentral:tRNA from 1 species